GAGUACAAAAGCCACAUUGAGAGGCAUGGAAUCCAGUGAACCUUUGGUGAAUCGAGUGGAACCCAUCUUUGCUAUUACCAAGGCCUUCAGUUGUUGUAAUCGAACAUCCAUUUAUACUGCAGAGCAGUGUGAGACAUGAACUUAUCGUAAAAUCCUCAAUAUGUUCACGUAAUGGAUCAUACUUUGAGAGCAGCACAAUACAAGCACCACAGCCACCUUCACCACAACUGAGCUUGACACUCUUGAAACUGGUGUGUGAACGCAAGAAUUCAAGCAAAGUCAUAGAAGGGUCAACGCUUGAGAGCUCAAAUCUGUGUCCAUUAACAGCAAAGACCAGAUUGCUGGUUCCAGUUGGUCUUUCUUCUUCCAUUUGGUUCUGCAUUGGGAGACGCAGAAACUGCUAAGUAGCGAAACAGGCAUCCACAUUGCCUUGAAAGAUGCAAGUAAAUAGCAAAAGCGAA
rnacentral:misc_RNA from 1 species